AAAGCUGUGGGAGAGGAGAAGAGGGAGGAUGAGAUCUUGCCAGUACUGGGGCAGCCAGUUUGGGGGAUGAAGUGGAUUGAGGUAUAAAGGGAGAGGACAAUGGUACUGGGGUAGGGCAUAUUUGGAGCUCCAUAAGAUUUUAUUUGUGGCUUUUAAGGAGAGGACAUUUUCUCUUCUGCUGGAUCAAAGGACUCCAAGCCAGAAACAAAUUUGUGUGCAUUUUACCCACCUUUAUACAAAUACAUGCAGCGUGAAAAGCUAAGAGGAUAUGAAGCCUUGAAACCCAGGUUGAGCCUGCCAACCUGCCUUUCCUCCGCACUUCCUCUGUUCCAGGCCCUAUGCUGGAUGCUUAAGAUGCAGAGAGAAUAAGGUGUCCCUCAAGAACUGAAUCAUGGCUGAAUAAGUUGGUUAAAGACUAUCUGGGCUGGGUGCGGUGGCUGAUGCUUGUAAUCCUAGCACUUUGGGAGGCCGAGGUGAGCAGAUCAUGUCAGGAGUUCCAGACCAGCCUGGCCAACAUGGUGAAACCCUAUCUUUACUAAAAAGACAAAAAUUAGCUGGGCAUGGUGGCAGGUGCCUGUACUCCCAGCUACUUGGGAAGCUGAGACAGGAGAAUCGCUUGAACCUGGGAGGCGGAGGAUGCAGUUAACUGAGAUCAUGCCACUACACUCCAGUCUGGGCAACAAGAGCAAAACUCCAUCUCCAAAAAAAAAAGAACAUCUGAUUCAGCUUUAGACAACACACCUGGCACACUGAACAAACAAAUACAUGAAUAUAUCUAUGCACGGGUAGGUGAAUGAAAAAAGGGCAUGACCUUGAUUGAGUCUUGAUUUCACCAUUUAUUACUUUGAUCAUUUUGGGCAAAUCAAGUAACACCUUUUGAGUCCAUUUACUAAGCUCUGAAAUGUAGAUAGAAAUAAUUCUUUGCACAAUUACUGUGAAGCUCAAAGGAUAAUAUGUAUGAAUACAGUUUGAAAAAUACCAUUCAUGUGUUGUUACUAGAAUGCUCUAAAACUUCUGCUCUAGGGUGGAUGAGAGCAAUAUGAGACUUUGAUUCUGUGCUUAACAGCAUUAAAUUUUUUUUAUCAUGGUAAAAUAUUCAUAACAUAAAAUUUACCAUCUUAACCACUUUUGGAUGUAUCCUGCACAUUCUUGAGCCUAAAUGUUUUCAGACAAAGUGAAGGCUUUGAUUGUCUGAUGAGAAUGAGGAUUUCUUGUUUCUCUUUGGAUUUCCCUUUUCUGAGCUUCACUCAGAGCCCCUUGACCAUCUCUUUCUCUCUCAUGUGCAGAGAUGAGAAAGGAAAAGGAAGAGGUAUUCUGGGCUCUCAUGCUUCCUAGUGUUUGCGUUCUUAUUUACGGUGGUGUGAGAGUUUCAGACACAGGCCCUGCCUUGUUCAGCCAGGAGUCAUACAGGAAAUCCUGCCAGACUUGCUAUCCUCUGUCUUUGGCAUCCUUGACCUGUGGCUUGGAAGUCAAAAGGCCAGAAAACCAAUACCUGAGGUGAAGGUAGCCCAGGCCUCCAUUUCCUGCCCCCAGCCCCACCCCCGCAGAUUGUGAUGUCAAAGAACAUCCCCCGGCCAGAGCAUGGUGGCUCAAGCCUGGAAUCCCAGCACUUUGGGAGGCCGAGGCGGGUGGAUCACAAGGUCUCUGGCCCUGGGCCUGGCACACAGUUGAUGCUUAAUGGAUGUUUAUCGAAUAAUCCACACUCAGUGAACACCUGUGGGCCUUGGGGAAGCAGACCUUGAUGACCGGAGAGUUGAUCAGGCGAUCCCUGCCAUGAAGCAGUUUAGAGAUCUCUCAAGGACAACAGGACAUCUGGAUCUUAUCUCCUUUCCCUCAUCCAUGGAAGGAUGUUAUUUAUAAGGUAUUUUAUUGAGGAGAGUCCUCUGGACAUACAGUCCCCAAAGGAGUUUCCCUCUUUAAGGAAGAAAGGAAAGUAUUUUCCUGGAUACCAGAUAUGCUGAGUUGGGACAUGAGCUAAAGAAAGAGGAUCUCACUCUGUUGCCCAGGCUGGAAUGCAGUUGCUGAUCACCUGCAGACUCUUGAGCAGCUAGGACUACAGGUGUGCACCACCAUGCUGGACUAAUUUUUAAUUUUUUCCUAUAGAUAGGAUCUUGCUAUGUUGCCCAGGCUGGUCUCAAACUCCUGGCUUCAAGCGAGCCUCCCCCUUGGCCUCCCAAAGUGCUGGGAUUGUAGGCAUGAACCACUGCACCGAGCAUGGGAGUAUUUUUCUUCCCUUUCAGAGAUUCCAGUGAAUUGUGAGGAGCAUAGGAGGGAGGAGAAUCAAAUUUUUACUUCAUUUAUGACAUUCAUUUUCUCUUGUGCAAAAUCAAGGUUUGGGCUUGAUGGGCUAUCUUCAAGUUUUUCUCUGGUUCUAAUGUACUGAUACCAUAAGCAAAUUAGAGAGCUCAUGUAAACAGUAUGGUGCCUAGUACAGGGUGGGUGUUCAAUGAAUGAUAACUAUCAUUAUUAUUCACCCAGCUCUUUAUGUUCCUGAAAACCUGAAACUCCUUCCUGUCUGACCCACUGAAGUGGUGGAGGGGAUCAGGGGAGGUAAUGCUCAUGGAUGUACUUAGGAGAUGUAAGGUGGGCACAACCAUCAUGGAGCCAUCUCUGCUCUCCCCAUCCCAUUUAAUGUGCAUGGUCCAUGCCACUCAGUCAUUCCUCACCCACUCUACAGAUUUUACUGAGAAUUGCUGUGAGCUGGGCACCGUUCUAGGCACUGCAGACACCAUGGCUAGUAAAACAGGCAAAGACCUGCCAUCUAGAGCUUGUUUGAGUAUGGAGUAGAGGGUCAGGGAGAAGGGAGAUAAACAACAAACAAGUAAAUUUACACUCUUUUAUUCCCAAUCGUCUUUCCACAGGUCUUAACUCCAUGAGCACAGUGACAGUGUCCUAUGUGUUUUCUAUUUGUUUAUUUGUGUUCUCCACCUGCUUUGCAAUAAAUGUCUUAGACAUGCUGCUAAA